rnacentral:piRNA from 1 species
UGGCACACAGGCAGGGAACCUAUGCAGUA